GGUGUGGGGGUAUUAGUGGUAAGAGAGACUGUCCUUCAACACAGUGGUGGGUGGUUAAAUGUUUCUAGUGCUGGACAGACGGCCCCUGACUCUGUCCAGGGAUUAUAGGGGGGUUUUUAUGUGUGUGUGUGUUAUUGUUGUCGCGGGGCAUGAAAUUUCCAGUGGUGCCCCUGCUUUGGCUCCACUGGGAGCUGAUGUGCCACUGAGAACACAUUUUGUUUUUGUUAUUGAUUAAAAGGAAGUGACCGAGAGAAGCUGGGUGAUUGAUUUCCAUCCAAGUAACACAUACAUUAAAGGGCUCAACCUCCACACACAAACUUAUUGAAGACAGGCAUGCACUGACACAUACACAUGUCCACGUUGCAGAGAUGCAGACAGAUGUAUCAAUAAAGACACAAGGAUCCUGCAGAAGUCCUAAAAACCAUCAAUGCUAUGAUGAAACGGACUCUCAUGAGGACUGCGGCAGACAAGAGUCUGUGACCUCAGAGUAAGGUCCAUAAAAACCCUACUACUUACGCAGACCAAUAAGAAGAAGAGGAUUGCUUGGGAACCACAAAGACUGGAUGGAUGGUAUCUGAAUGUAUGGCUCCCACCAUGGUGUAUGGAGGAGGAGGAGGUGUGAUGGUGUGAGGGUCGACAUUAUUGUUACCACAACAUUCUGCAGCAACAUGCCGUCCCAUCUGGUUUGCGCUUAGUGGGAUCAUCAUUUGGUUUUCAACAGGACAACGAGCCAAAACACGCCUCCUGGCUAAUGUAAGGGCUAUUUCACCAAGGAGAUGAUAAAGGUGAUGGCAGUGCUACAUCGGAUGAUCUGUCCUCUACAAUCAUCCUACCCACACGUAACUGAGAUGGUUUUGGAUGUGUUGGAUCGCACAGUGAAAGAAAAGCUGCCAACAAGUGCUCAGCAUAUGUGGGAACUCCUUCAAGACUGUUGGAAAACCGUCCCAGGUGACGACCUCAUGAAACUGGUCAAGAGAGUGCCAAGAGUGCACAAAGCCUCCAUUAAAGCAAAAGAGUAAAUGAACACGAAAAUCCUGGCUGCUCCCUCCAUCAUAGCGUCCAGUCAUGUUUAAAAAGUGCAGCUCAGGACGCAGGGGUCGGGGGACACCGAUUGACCACCAGCAUGAAUAGCGAUGUAGAGCCGGUUAUUAGAGCUAACCAACAAUGAGCAGAUGUGUCAGACUGUUCAUGUGCACUGGACACCACAAUGUUACGUUUUUCAAAAGAGAAUAUCUGGAAAAAUAUGACACUAGCAGUUGGAAAUUGGAAGCAAAUAGUGGUCUCCUGCAGCAAAGUCCACUUUUUUCCCAUUCAUGUUUUGUUAUUACCAAUUAAAAUGACAAAAACUACAAAAAUAAGAUAUUAAACCACCACAUUAAAC